UACGGGAGGCAGCAGUGGGGAAUAUUGCACAAUGGGCGCAAGCCUGAUGCAGCCAUGCCGCGUGUAUGAAAAAGGCCUUCGGGUUGUAAAGUACUUUCAGUCGUGAGGAAGGUGUUAAGGUUAAUAACCUUAGCAAUUGACGUUAGCGACAGAAGAAGCACCGGCUAACUCCGUGCCAGCAGCCGCGGUAAUACGGAGGGUGCGAGCGUUAAUCGGAAUUACUGGGCGUAAAGGGCACGCAGGCGGUUAAUUAAGUUGGAUGUGAAAUCCCCGGGCUUAACCUGGGAAUGGCAUUCAAGACUGGUUAGCUAGAGUCUUGUAGAGGGGGUUAGAAUUCCAUGUGUAGCGGUGAAAUGCGUAGAGAUGUGGAGGAAUACCGGUGGCGAAGGCGGCCCCUGGACAAAGACUGACGCUCAUGUGCGAAAGCGUGGGGAGCAAAACAGGGAUUAGAUACC
rnacentral:rRNA from 1 species